AUGGCUGAGCAAUUUGCAGGCCAAAAAGACCUGAGACUCCCUGGGGUGAAGGGAAAUGCCACAGACAUCCAUGGUCUUGGAUGCUCAACAGAAGUGCUUGCCUUGGUGAUCCAAAAAAGGCAGGAUCCGGCCGGGGGCAAGGUGAUUAUUCUGUCUGAUGAGGAGAAUAAGAGCCAGUUUGUGGUAUUGACAGAAGAAUGAAAGUAAAGUCUUGAAAGAUGGGAAGAUCAGGAGCAGUCUGGAGUCAUGGUAUAUGAAUGAACUAGUGAGAGUGGGCACAAAGUCUGAAGAUCUUUGUAGUGCAGCUAAUGUCUAAGGGAGAAUAUACCUACCCUAGAAGAGACAUUAAACAACCAGGUUGUCUCUUCAUUCUGUUGAUUGUUUCCUUUGUUGUAAAAGAAACUCACUUUACAGGAAAAGAGGUGCAACAGUGGCUGGAUGAUUAUAAGAUCGACUGUUCCUAUUAAAAACUACACCAUCCAAAAGAGGCUGCCAUUGAAGAGCAAUAAAGUAGUUCAUAGAAGGCAUAGUUCAACCAAUCUACAAAGGCCAAAAAUAUUUUCACAGGCCCCCAAAAGAUGAACUCCAAUCUGCUGCCCCUAAACGCAUUCUCCACUGUCUGGAAGAUGUGCAAAGGCAACGGCACAGCGUUCUCCAUCUCAAAUCCUUCAAAGUGCUGUCAGAAUAAAAGAAUCCCCACCAAAAGCCCCAGGGAAAUCUAUCUGUCUGUAUGGUAUGGUAAUGACUGAGGUUAUUCCAGAUAGGAUUCUGGGAGAAACUCAGCUAUUGAAAUCUAAUGAAUGGAACUGAGAAUUUCUUGUUAUAA
rnacentral:lncRNA from 1 species